rnacentral:rRNA from 1 species
AAGGCGGUGCACGAAUAAGAGCUGGGCAAGACCGGUGCCAGCCGCCGCGGUAACACCGGCAGCUCGAGUGAUGACCGAUCUUAUUGGGCUAAAGCGUUCGUAGCCGGCCGGGCAAGUUCGUCGGGAAAUCUACCAGCUCAACUGGUAGGCGUCCGGCGAAAACUGUCCGGCUUGGGACAGGGAGACUCGAAGAGUACGUCCGGGGUAGGAGUGAAAUCCCGUAAUCCUGGACGGACUACCGAUGGCGAAAGCACUUCGAGAGAACUGAUCCGACGGUCAGGGACGAAAGCUGGGGUCUCGAACCGGAUUAGAUACCCGGGUAGUCCCAGCUGUAAACGAUGUUCGCUAGGUGCGACGCAGACUACGUGUCUGUGUUGUGCCGUAGGGAAGCCGAGAAGCGAACCGCCUGGGAAGUACGUCCGCAAGGAUGAAACUUAAAGGAAUUGGCGGGGGAGCACUACAACCGGAGGAGCCUGCGGUUUAAUUGGACUCAACGCCGGACAUCUCACCAGCCCCGACUGUGGGAAUGAAGCUCAGUGUGAUGAGCUUAGCAGACCCACAGAGAGGAGGUGCAUGGCCGCCGUCAGCUCGUACCGUGAGGCGUCCUGUUAAGUCAGGCAACGAGCGAGACCCGCGCUCCUAAUUGCCAGCAUGGCCCUUGUGGCUGAUGGGUACAUUAGGAGGACUGCCGCCGCCAAGGCGGAGGAAGGAACGGGCAACGGUAGGUCAGUAUGCCCCGAAUGGGCUGGGCUACACGCGGGCUACAAUGGUCGGGACAAUGGGUUCCUACCCCAAGAGGGGACGGUAAUCUCAGAAACCCGGUCGUAGUUCGGAUUGUGGGCUGAAACUCGCCCACAUGAAGCUGGAUUUGGUAGUAGUCGCGUGUCACAAGCGCGCGGUGAAUACGUCCCUGCUCCUUGCACACACCGCCCGUCAAAGCACCCGAGUGAGGUCCGGAUGAGGCCUGGGUGCCAGGUCGAA